rnacentral:rRNA from 1 species
GACGAACGCUGGCGGCGUGCUUAACACAUGCAAGUCGAACGGAAAGGCCCUGCUUUUGUGGGGUGCUCGAGUGGCGAACGGGUGAGUAACACGUGAGUAACCUGCCCUUGACUUUGGGAUAACUUCAGGAAACUGGGGCUAAUACCGGAUAGGAGCUCCUGCUGCAUGGUGGGGGUUGGAACGUUUCGGCUGUUGGGGAUGGACUCGCGGCUUAUCAGCUUGUUGGUGGGGUAGUGGCUUACCAAGGCUUUGACGGGUAGCCGGCCUGAGAGGGUGACCGGCCACAUUGCGCCUGAGAUACGGACCAGACUCGUACGGGAGGCAGCAGGGGGGAAUAUUGCACAAUGGGCGGAAGCGUGAUGCAGCAAUCCCGCGUGCGGGAUGACGGCCUUCGGGUUGUAAACCGCUUUCGCCUGUGACGAAGCGUGAGUGACGGUAAUGGGUAAAGAAGCACCGGCUAACUACGUG